AUUUGAUGUUGAGGGUAUCUAGUGCACAACUUAUUGAAUCUUUUCCAAUAAUCACAUAAAGACUCCCCGGGGUACUGCUUGAUACUGCAUAUCUCUUUUCUCAAACU